rnacentral:rRNA from 1 species
UUCGUAGUGACUGCGGAGGAUCAUUACCGUGGGGCUUCGGCCCCGUCGUGAUAGAACCCUUGCCUUUUUGAGUACCGUCCGUUUCCUCGGCAGGCUCGCCUGCCAAUGGGGACCCAAAACCAAACUCUUUUUUAUCAUCUGUACCAGUCUGAAAAACAAACAAAAGUUAAAACUUUCAACAACGGAUCUCUUGGUUCUGGCAUCGAUGAAGAACGCAGCGAAAUGCGAUAAGUAGUGUGAAUUGCAGAAUUCAGUGAAUCAUCGAAUCUUUGAACGCACAUUGCGCCCUUUGGUAUUCCUUAGGGCAUGCCUGUUCGAGCGUCAUUUGAACCCUCAAGCUUUGCUUGGUAUUGGGUGACUGUCCGCUUCACCGCGGACUCGCCUCAAAAUUAUUGGCGGCCGGUACAUUGGCUCUCGAGCGCAGCAGAAACGCGUAACUCGAGGUCCUCGUGCUGGCUCCCAGAAGCUAUCUUCACAAUUUUGACCUCGGAUCAGGUAGGGAUACCCGCUGAACUUAAGCAUAUCAAUAAGCGGAGGA